rnacentral:rRNA from 1 species
UACGAAGGGGGCUAGCGUUGCUCGGAAUCACUGGGCGUAAAGCGCACGUAGGCGGCUUUGUAAGUUAGAGGUGAAAGCCCGGAGCUCAACUCCGGAAUUGCCUUUAAGACUGCAUCGCUCGAAUCAUGGAGAGGCGAGUGGAAUUCCGAGUGUAGAGGUGAAAUUCGUAGAUAUUCGGAAGAACACCAGUGGCGAAGGCGACUCGCUGGACCAGUCCUGACGCUGAGACGCGAAAGCGUGGGGAGCGAGUCCGG